rnacentral:piRNA from 1 species
UUGUUAAGAUUUGCUUCUCUGGUUGAUAGC